GAUGAACGCUGGCGGCGUGCCUAAUACAUGCAAGUCGAGCGAACAGAUGAGGAGCUUGCUCCUCUGACGUUAGCGGCGGACGGGUGAGUAACACGUGGAUAACCUACCUAUAAGACUGGGAUAACUUCGGGAAACCGGAGCUAAUACCGGAUAAUAUAUUGAACCGCAUGGUUCACUAGUGAAAGACGGUUUUGCUGUCACUUAUAGAUGGAUCCGCGCCGCAUUAGCUAGUUGGUAAGGUAACGGCUUACCAAGGCAACGAUGCGUAGCCGACCUGAGAGGGUGAUCGGCCACACUGGAACUGAGACACGGUCCAGACUCCGACGGGAGGCAGCAGUAGGGAAUCUUCCGCAAUGGGCGAAAGCCUGACGGAGCAACGCCGCGUGAGUGAUGAAGGUCUUCGGAUCGUAAAACUCUGUUAUUAGGGAAGAACAAAUGUGUAAGCAACUAUGCACGUCUUGACGGUACCUAAUCAGAAAGCCACGGCUAACUACGUG
rnacentral:rRNA from 1 species